AUUGAACGCUGGCGGAAUGCUUUACACAUGCAAGUCGAACGGCAGCACGGGGCAACCUGGUGGCGAGUGGCGAACGGGUGAGUAAUACAUCGGAACGUGCCCAAUCGUGGGGGAUAACGUAGCGAAAGUUACGCUAAUACCGCAUACGAUCUACGGAUGAAAGCGGGGGAUCGCAAGACCUCGCGCGAGUGGAGCGGCCGAUGUCAGAUUAGGUAGUUGGUGGGGUAAAGGCUCACCAAGCCAACGAUCUGUAGCUGGUCUGAGAGGACGACCAGCCACACUGGAACUGAGACACGGUCCAGACUCCUACGGGAGGCAGCAGUGGGGAAUUUUGGACAAUGGGCGCAAGCCUGAUCCAGCCAUUCCGCGUGAAGGAAGACGGCCUUAUGGGUUGUAAACUUCUUUACUUACGCGAAUAGAGGUUAGUACGAGAUACUAAUAGGAAGGUAGUGUAGUAAAAGCACCGGCUAACUCCGUGCCAGCAGCCGCGGUAAAAGUC
rnacentral:rRNA from 1 species